rnacentral:misc_RNA from 1 species
AACUUUCAACAAUGGAUCUCUUGGCUCUCGCAUCGAUGAAGAACGCAGCGAAAUGCUAUAAGUAAUGUGAAUUGCAGAAUUCAGUGAAUCAUCGAAUCUUUGAACGCACCUUGCACCCUUUGGAAUUCCAAAGGGUAUGCUCGUUUGAGUGUCAUUGUACUCUCACACUCUCCGAUCCUCUGGAUUUGGGGAGCGGUGGACUUGGGUGCUUGCUGCUUUCCUUGCGGCUCACCUCAAAUGCGUCAGUGCAUCUCUUGAUUGGACAUAGUACGGCGUGAUAAGUGUCUUCGCCGGCACCUCAUAAGAGGGUGGCUGAUCGGGAGCUCUGUGCUUUCAAACCGUCUUCGGACACUCUCUGACAACUUGACCUCAAAUCGAGUAGGACUACCCGCUGAACUUAAGCAUAUCAAUAAGCGGAGGCU